UAAUACUGGCAUUCAUAUCUGCCGAGCUCUAGCUCUGUUGGAGUAGCAAUCUUAAUGUCUGACAAAAUAAAAGUCAAGGAAAUAUGAAGAAUGUUUUAUACUGGAUAAAAGACCAACAGAACAGAAAAAUAUAACCAUCAUGAACAUGGGUGCACCUAAUAAGUUGCUGCCUGAGAAUCUAUCAAGCCACAAGAGUUGUUUUACCUUUUCUGCAAGUGCCCAAGGGGACAGAACUUUGAGUACAUUCAUCAGUUUGGGAGUGCUUGGACUACAGAGGAGUGUAAAUUCAGACCCUGAACUCACCUGAGGAGUAAGCCCAACUUUAAGAUAUCUCACAGACCGCUGUCUACCAGAAUGAAAAGAAUCUGCAGUUGGAGAAGGGUAUAAAGAGAUACCUUAUAAUUGUUGAAGUUUAUACCAAUUGAAUUUAUGGUCUGUGUCACACAAUUUAAACCUCAA